UGUGUGGAGGCAAGGAACUAUGC
rnacentral:miRNA from 1 species